CCAAAAACGCCUUUCAAUUUUUUUUCAAAAAAAUAAUACAAAUUUAUUUUUUACUUUUUUAAAAAAUAUUUGUUAUUUUAUAAUAAUUUCUAUAAAUUUUAAAUAUUUAAUCAAAAUAUAAAUUAUGAAAUAUAAUUAUUUAUAUUUUUAGAUUUUAUAUAAAUUUUUUAAAAAAUUAAAAAAAUAAAUAAUUUAAGGGG
rnacentral:lncRNA from 1 species